rnacentral:rRNA from 1 species
CGCGACGUAGUUGACUCAGUCGGCUACGAGAGACGCUGGCGGCGUGCCUAACACAUGCAAGUCGAGCGAGUGGAACUUCUUCGGAAGAGAAGCUAGCGGCGGACGGGUGAGUAACACGUGGGCAACCUGCCUCAUAGAGGGGGAUAACACACCGAAAGGUGUGCUAAUACCGCAUAAUAUAUGUUUACCGCAUGAUAGACAUAUCAAAGAUUUAUCGCUUAAGGAUGGACUCGCGUCUGAUUAGAUAGUUGGUGAGGUAACGGCUCACCAAGUCGACGAUCAGUAGCCGAACUGAGAGGUUGAUCGGCCACAUUGGGACUGAGACACGGCCCAGACUCCUACGGGAGGCAGCAGUGGGGAAUAUUGCGCAAUGGGGGAAACCCUGACGCAGCAACGCCGCGUGAAGGAUGAAGGUCUUCGGAUCGUAAACUUUUGUCUUAUGGGAAGAACAAGGACGGUACCAUAGGAGGAAGCCACGGCUAACUACGUG